AGCUGGUUGAACCUGUGGCAGCUCACGGUCCGAAGAUCGAAGAAGAGGAACAGGAACCUGAACCGCCAGAGCCCUUUGAGUACAUUGAUGAUUAAGACAUGAGGAUCACGUCCUCUAAAGAAGACACUAUGCUUGAUAUCAGAAAGACAGACAUGAAGACCUUCCUAUGGAGAUCCGCUGUUCAGUGCAUGCAGCCCCAAUCUGUGCUGAGCUAAAGCUGAUAGUCCGUGUUUUAUGGUUGAAGAACAGAUAUAUGCUAUUUAGUGUACUCUUUCACAAAACCUUGUUUUCAAAUAAAUAUAUUAAAAACUCUU